rnacentral:rRNA from 1 species
UACAGAGGUCCCGAGCGUUGUUCGGAUUCACUGGGCGUAAAGGGUGCGUAGGUGGUGAGGUAAGUCGGAUGUGAAAUCUCCGGGCUUAACUCGGAAACUGCCAUUGAUACUAUCUGUCUUGAAUACCGUGGAGGUCAGCGGAAUAUGUCAUGUAGCGGUGAAAUGCUUAGAUAUGACAUAGAACACCAAUUGCGAAGGCAGCUGGCUACACGAAUAUUGACACUGAUGCACGAAAGCGUGGGGAUCAAACAGG